GACGAACGCUGGCGGCGUGCUUAACACAUGCAAGUCGAACGGAAAGGCCCUGCUUGCAGGGUACUCGAGUGGCGAACGGGUGAGUAACACGUGGGUGAUCUGCCCUGCACUUCGGGAUAAGCUUGGGAAACUGGGUCUAAUACCGGAUAGGAACCAUCUUUAGUGUGGUGGUUGGAAAGUUUUUUCGGUGUAGGAUGAGCUCGCGGCCUAUCAGCUUGUUGGUGGGGUAAUGGCCUACCAAGGCGGCGACGGGUAGCCGGCCUGAGAGGGUGUACGGCCACAUUGGGACUGAGAUACGGCUCAGACUCCUACGGGAGGCAGCAGUGGGGAAUAUUGCACAAUGGGCGCAAGCCUGAUGCAGCGACGCCGCGUGGGGGAUGAAGGCCUUCGGGUUGUAAACUCCUUUCGCUAGGGACGAAGCGUUGUUGUGACGGUACCUAGAGAAGAAGCACCGGCUAACUACGUG
rnacentral:rRNA from 1 species